AUCUUCAUCGGGGUGAUCUCAAAAUUCGUGCCUGUGUGUUAUCCUCGUGCAUCGGACUUACUCUUAGAUUACAGAGCAAUGCAUCACGACCAGUUAAAACCAUCUGGAAGAAGCCAUCCACAUCCUUGGUAAGGAGAUCUAGGCCUUCUGACAGUUUCUCCACACUCUUUCCUAAAUCUGAAACAGAAUUUUGGAACGUGCCAUCUUCAGCAGGGCCUACACCAUCCUGGACCAUGGGAUACAAUUUAUUGAUACUUGUAUCAACUGCUUCCAACUCUUUCAAUACUGUAACUCUUCCACUGGAAAAUGUAUUUCUAAUUUCUACAUUUACAUAAGACUGCAAAUCGGUAAAAGCUUCAGACCACAGGAAUGUGUCAGCAACAUGCAAAUCUAUCAACUUAUUGGCAGAUCCGGUGAAGGCAGCAGCAAAGACACUACAGACAAAUACAGUGCCCACCCUAACUCCAUACAUGGCACGCAUCAAGACUUUUCCCUUAGCUGAAUUUUUAAUCUUGGGGAGAUUAAUUGAUUCAGCAAGACUGUCCAAGAUGGUCAAACAGUUCUGAAGUUUGGGGUUCUUUGAACCAAUAUGCUGCCUCCAACUGUCAAGUGAAGAACGGGCUCGCACAAGCUGCUUCGGGGAAGCAGUAUCCAAAUUGCGCAAGACACACUGGAGCAAAAGAUGACCUUGGUUGAGCCGUGAGAGCUCAGAGCUCAAAGCAAUGCAAAUAUCAAGCAAUUUCACACUGUUGUCCAGGUACACAUCUAUCCAUUUAUCAUCCCAGUCACAUACAGGGAGUUCAAGAUCGGUAAUAAGAAUUUUUAUGUCUUUAUGGAUUUCACAAAGCAACUCCAUUGCUAAUUUCAUCCAUGAACAGCUAAGCACAUCUUCCGUGCCUUUUGGCUUAAGCUUUCUCAGCCUCUCUGCCAAGGU
rnacentral:lncRNA from 1 species